CUCGCUUGUCACAGCUAGUCGCUGGCAUCCCGCUUCAUGGUCGAAAUCCCCUGUCUUGUCCCCUCCGUGCCCAUGACACACAUCAUCUUCCCGCCUCCGCCAUGAUGACCACCGACUGCGUCGUCCCCAUUGCUGCGUUGAAGAGGGGCGCCUUCAUCGUCUUCCUCGCCGUUCGAUCCAUCAUCCAGGCCCUCAGGUUUGUCUCGUCUGCCCUUGCAGGCGAGAGCGCGUUCUUUUUCUGCUCAGGAGAUCUUAGAUCACGUCAUGAUCUUUUAUUUGUUUCGGUAUCGUAGGAACCUGGGGUAGCCAUCGUACAUGGAGACAGUGGACUGGAG
rnacentral:lncRNA from 1 species